UACAGAGGGUGCGAGCGUUGUCCGGAAUCACUGGGCGUAAAGGGCGCGUAGGCGGUCCGCUAAGUGUGUGGUGAAAGCUCGGGGCUCAACCCCGAGUCGGCCGUGCAAACUGGUGGACUGGAGCAUGUCAGAGGCAGGCGGAAUUCCGGGUGUAGCGGUGGAAUGCGUAGAGAUCCGGAAGAACACCGGUGGCGAAGGCGGCCUGCUGGGACAUGGCUGACGCUGAGGCGCGACAGCGUGGGGAGCAAACAGG
rnacentral:rRNA from 2 species